UAUAAGGGAUUUUGAGUUUUUGCUUGCAACGUUUGACCACUCGUCUUAUUCAAAAUUUUUUGAAAUUAUUGUUUAUUUUAUUUGUGAAUUACUUUAUUAUCUACAUUACUUUAUGCACAACUUUUCUUUUUUUAUAUUUGCAAAAAAAAAGUUGAAUAAGACGAGUGAUCAAACAUUGCAAGAAAAACUCAGAAUCCCUUAUA
rnacentral:pre_miRNA from 1 species